UUCUCUCUCUGCCGACAGACCUCUCAAUCUCAUCUUCUCUCUCGCCACCAUGAAAGGAGCUUGAAGCUCUGACCUCACCGUCGCUCUCUCGCCAUCUCUCUCGUCGAGUCGUCGUCUCUCUCGCCAUCUCUCGCCGUCUCUCUCGCCAUCUCUCUCGCCGUCUCUCUCGCCCCCAUGAAAGGAGCUUGAAGCUCGUCGUCUCUCUCGUCAUUUCUCUCUCUCGUCAUCUCUCUGCCAUCUCUCUCUCGCCGUCUCUCUCUCUCGCCAUCUCUCUCUCGCCGUCUCUCUCUCUCGCCGUCUCUCUCGUCGUGUCUCUCUCGCCGUCUCUCUCGUCGUGUCUCUCUCGCCGUCAUCUCUCUCACCGGUUUGAUCUUCUGUGGAGAACUGCAUAGGUGCUUUAGAUGGAACUCAUAUUGCUGUCCGUCCACCAUGUGGGAAUAGUGAGCCAUUUAGAGGUAGAAAAGGUGAACCAACCAUGAAUGUGCUGGCUAUUUGUAAUUUUGACAUGAGGUUCAUCUACGCUUAUGUUGGAGUUCCCGGGAGAGCACAUGACACGAAGGUGCUAACAUAUUGUGCUACUGAAGAAGCUUCUUUUCCUCACCCACCAGCUGGAAAAUACUACUUGGUCGACUCAGGCUAUCCAACCAGAACUGGUUACUUAGGUCCUCAUCGCAAGACUAGAUACCAUAUAGAUCAGUUCAACAGAGGAGGUCCACCAUCAAACACUAGGGAAUUGUUCAACCGCAGGCACUCCGGUUUAAGAUCAAUGAUUGAGAGGACUUUUGGUGUUUGGAAAGCCAAAUGGAGAGUUUUAGACAGAAAACAUCCCAAGUAUAAGUUGAAGAAGUGGAUAAAGAUUGUGACAGCAACCAUGGCCCUCCACAACUUUAUUCGAGAUUCGCAACAUGGAGAUACUGAUUUUUCAUAUUGGGAAGGAGUGGAAUCAUAUGAACAGCAUGGUGAUGAUGAAGAAGAACAUGUCGGAUACAUUCCGCAGGGUGAUAGAUUGAUGGAGAGUGUGCGUCACUGUAUUACUAUGGAGAUGGCAAGAGGAACUAGACUUCCAUACUAGCAUCAUACAAGUUGUUUCUCUUCUUGGAUUGUUGUAGCAAUGAGUGAAGAAUGUGGAAGUUCUUGUUUGUGGUCCAAAGAUAUGAGACAGUGUGGAAAACGUAUGAUAUUGUUUUCUUUAGAUGGGUUUCUUUAAAUUGUUAGACAUCUUUUAAAUUUCAGUUUUAUAAACAUUAUUGUUAGUAUUUGAAUAUCUACUUUGAACGGUUUGAAAGUUUAUUAAAA